ACCUCACCAAAAUCAGUACAAAGCUUAAUCACAAAAGGAAAAGUAUGAUCAUCUGGCACAACCCCGCUUCUCAACAUCCCAUUAUAAACCUCAAGAACACCCACCACACCCAAAAUAGUCUGAGCUCGAAUAAGGGUGUUGUACAGAAACGCCGAACGGGAAAAAGGGAGACUUUGGUAGAACAUUGUCCGUACGAUUCUUGGGUCUGAUGAAAAAGCGGCGUAACGGAGAAUGAGAGCUGCGGAGAUGGAAAUGCUGAACGGAAGAAAGCCAUUGAUGAUGGAGAAAGCGUGAGCUUGUUGGGU
rnacentral:misc_RNA from 1 species